GGCACUGACUGGCUCAGUUGGUAGAGCAGAUGCACCAUGUGCAGAGGCUAUAGUCCUCGACGUGGUUGUCUUGGGUUUGAUUCCCGAUUAGGUCA